rnacentral:rRNA from 1 species
UGAGGAAUAUUGGUCAAUGGGCGAGAGCCUGAACCAGCCAAGUCGCGUGAAGGAAGAAGGCUCUAUGGAUUGUAAACUUCUUUUGUAAGGGAAUAAAAAAUAGUACGUGUACUCUAUUGUAUGUACUUUACGAAUAAGGAUCGGCUAACUCCGUGCCAGCAGCCGCGGUAAUACGGAGGAUCCGAGCGUUAUCCGGAUUUAUUGGGUUUAAAGGGUGCGUAGGCGGACUUAUAAGUCAGCGGUGAAAGUUUGCAGCUUAACUGUAAAAUUGCCGUUGAAACUGUUAGUCUUGAGUGUAAAUGAGGUAGGCGGAAUGUGUUGUGUAGCGGUGAAAUGCUUAGAUAUAACACAGACCACCAAUUGCGAAGGCAGCUUACUGGGAUAC